UGCAUACUGUGAAACUGAUCUCAAGAGACAUUGCAUCAACAUAGUAAAGCAAGAGGUCACUGUAAAAACGUCAUACCUCUCUACAACUCCGUUAUCAAGAAGAAUAUGCAGGAGCUGGAGAAGUUUUGCUUCGAGUUUGCUUUGGAGCACACGACAGCCGUGUCGAUGUCAGAAACUUUCGCCGAGCUAGAUGACGUUAGCACAUUAAGGACUUUUAUAAUUAAAGCAGCCAGUGCCAAUGCUUUUAGGACCUA